rnacentral:rRNA from 1 species
UACGGAGGGUGCAAGCGUUGUCCGGAAUCACUGGGCGUAAAGGGCGCGUAGGCGGCUCAUGAAGGCUGUGGUGAAAGUCCGGGGCUCAACCUCGGAUCGGCCGUGGCGACUCGUGGGCUGGAGCACUGUAGAGGCGGGUGGAAUUCCGGGUGUAGAGGUGAAAUGCAUAGAGAUCCGGAAGAACACCGACGGCGAAGGCAGCGUCCUGGCCGAGCACUGACGCUCAGGCACGAAAGCGCGGGGAGCAAACAGG